CGGAUGUAGCUCAGUUUGGUUAGAGCGCUGGAUUGUGGCUCCGGAGGCCGUGGUUCGAACCCCAUCAUUC
rnacentral:tRNA from 1 species